rnacentral:rRNA from 1 species
AGGAUGAACGCUGGCGGCGUGCCUAACACAUGCAAGUCGAACGUCCUGUCUCGCAAGAGGCAGGGAGUGGCGGACGGGUGAGUACCACGUGGGUCAUCUACCGUGAGGUGAGGAAUACCGGCGAGAAAUCGCCGACAAGACCGCAUAGGCUCGAUGCAAGUCGAGCAAAGCUCUUUCGAGAGAGGGAGCGCCACACGAGGAGCCUGCGCCCGAUUAGCUAGCUGGUGGAGUAAUGGUUCACCAGGGCGACGAUCGGUAGCUGGUCUGAGAGGACGAUCAGCCACACUGGGAUUGAGAACGGCCCAGACUCCUACGGGGGCAGCAGUGAGGAAUUUCGUCAAUGGGGGCAACCCUGAACGAGCAACGCCGCGUGCAGGAAGAAGGUUUUCGGAUCGUAAACUGCUUUUCUCGGGGAAGAGGAACGGACGGUACCCGAGGAAUCGAGCCCCGGCUAACGUACGCGCCAGCAGCCGCGGU